AUGAACGCUGGCGGCGUGCCUAAUACAUGCAAGUCGCGCGAACAGACGAGGAGCUUGCUCCUCUGACGUUAGCGGCGGACGGGUGAGUAACACGUGGAUAACCUACCUAUAAGACUGGGAUAACUUCGGGAAACCGGAGCUAAUACCGGAAAAUAUAUUGAACCGCAUGGUUCAAUAGUGAAAGACGGUUUUGCUGUCACUUAUAGAUGGAUCCGCGCCGCAUUAGCUAGUUGGUAAGGUAACGGCUUACCAAGGCGACGAUGCGUAGCCGACCUGAGAGGGUGAUCGGCGACACUGGAACUGGGCCACGGUCCAGACUCCUACGGGAGGCAGCAGUAGGGAAUCUUCCGCAAUAGGCGAAAGCCUGACGGAGCAACGCCGCGUGAGUUAUGGAGGUCUUCGGAUCGUAAAGCUCUGUUAUUAGGGAAGAACAAAUGUGUAAGUAACUAUGCACGUCUUGACGGUACCUAAUCAGAAAGCCACGGCUAACUACGUG
rnacentral:rRNA from 1 species